CGGACGGGUGAGUAAUGUCUGGGAAACUGCCCGAUGGAGGGGGAUAACUACUGGAAACGGUAGCUAAUACCGCAUAACGUCGCAAGACCAAAGAGGGGGACCUUCGGGCCUCUUGCCAUCGGAUGUGCCCAGAUGGGAUUAGCUAGUAGGUGGGGUAAUGGCUCACCUAGGCGACGAUCCCUAGCUGGUCUGAGAGGAUGAUCAGCCACACUGGGACUGAGACACGGUCCAG
rnacentral:rRNA from 1 species